AUCAGCUAGUGGCAACACUGCUGCUGAAAGUCUGAAAUCCAUCAUGGCUUCAUUUUAUGAUUAAACCAACUUUUUAUUUUAUAUUUUUCCACUUUUCUUGAUUCAACGUCGCUAUAGUCAAUACUGAAAUGGUACCAUAAUGGAUAUUAAAACUGUGAGGUCACAGUAAAUCAUGGAAUAAAUAUCCUAUUCUUCCAUGAAU